UUUAAGUCUGAUACGGGUAAAGUUAGGGACAAGUUCCGUGGUUUAAGUUUGGCUAAGGGGUCAGCAGUGUACAGGUCAAAUUAAUAAGGGAAUGCGAUUCAAUCUGGUUAUAUUUCAUUGCUUUAUUAAAUGAAAAUGUUAUUUUCUUGAAAUUGUGUUUUUGCCCCUCCUGUGUGAUGUAUGAUUCAAGGAAUAUUCUUGUCACGAAGGAUUCAUCCAAUCAGAGUGCAGUUUAUUAAGUGACGUCAGUCAGUGCCUCAUACUCAGCUAGAGACGAACUGUGAAUUCUCCUACACCUAACUAAUCUCUCCUUUGCCUUUAUUAGGGGUGUCAUGUGAGCGAGUUAAUGCCUGGAAAGAUUGCAUGCUGCAAUGAAGGCAAAUUCAAAACAUAUUCGGUAUCUGUUCCUGGCCAAAGAGGACCCGCUGACUGCCCAGGACCUUAUUGAUGUCUUCAGCCCACACUUUGCAGAGGAGGGAAGUAAUCGCAGACACAGUGACAUUAGACUUCUUGCUAGAUGUGAAAGGUGGAGAAAUGCAGGUGGGCCAAAGUAAAAACCUUACUCUGCAAGAGGUCCUUGUCUUUGCUUCUGGACUGGAGGAGUUGCCCCCACUGGGAUUCAAGAACCAUCCAAUCACUGACUUCAUACACACAGACCGCAAAUUCCCAGAAGCUAACACGUGUGACGUAGUCCUGCGCCUACCAAUACACACGAGCUAUGAGGAGUUCUGCAACCACAUGUGUAGUGGGAUUUUGCAGGCCACAGAUUUUAGAAUGACAUAAAAUACUGUCACGUUCUUUGUGUUGUUUUUACAGUUUUGAUUGUUCUAUCAGACUCUACUCAGACCUAAAGUUAAGUUGUAAUGUUUAAAAAUUGUAAAAAGGUACCUGCUCAAAUAAUCUCCUGUUAUUGUCAUGAGUCUUAUUUCAGACAGAUUUUCACCUCUUGAAAAUAGGGUUUUGAUGCUUUCAUGAAGUUACUUUAAUUUCUGAUACAGCCGUCAAACUGAAGUCAUUCAAAUAAAGAAUUAUUCCC